UGUUGUCUGAUGCUGUGAGGUGGUUGUUGUCUGAUGCUGUGAGGUGGUUGUUGUCUGAUGCUGUGAGGUGGUUGUUUGUGAUGCUGUGAGGUGGUUGUUGUCUGAUGCUGUGAGGUGGUUGUUGGUUGUGAUGCUGUGAGGUGGUUGUUUGUGAUGCUGUGAGGUGGUUGUUGUCUGAUGCUGUGAGGUGGUUGUUGUCUGAUGCUGUGAGGCUGUUGUUUGUGAUGCUGUGAGGUGGUUGUUGUCUGAUGCUGUGAGGCUGUUGUUUGCUGAUGCUGUGAGGUGGUUGUCUGAUGCUGUGAGGUGGUUGUCUGAUGCUGUGAGGUGGUUGUCUGAUGCUGUGAGGUGGUUGUUGUCUGAUGCUGUGAGGUGGUUGUUGUCUGAUGCUGUGAGGUGGUUGUUGUCUGAUGCUGUGAGGUGGUUGUUGUCUGAUGCUGGGAGGUGGUUGUUGUCUGAUGCUGGGAGGUGGUUGUUGUCUGAUGCUGGGAGGUGGUUGUUGUCUGAUGCUGGGAGGUGGUUGUUGUCUGAUGCUGGGAGGUGGUUGUUGUCUGAUGCUGUGAGGUGGUUGUUGUCUGAUGCUGUGAGGUGGUUGUUGUCUGAUGCUGUGAGGUGGUUGUUGUCUGAUGCUGUGAGGUGGUUGUUGUCUGAUGCUGUGAGGUGGUUGUUGUCUGAUGCUGUGAGGUGGUUGUUGUCUGAUGCUGUGAGGUGGUUGUUGUCUGAUGCUGUGAGGUCGUGGUGUGACGCUGUGAGGUCGUGGUGUGACGCUGUGAGGUCGUGGUGUGACGCUGUGAGGUCGUGGUGUGACGCUGUGAGG